rnacentral:tRNA from 1 species
CUCUCGAUGGUGUAGUUGGCUAUCACGUUCGGCUGUAAACCGAAAGGUCACCGGCUCGAUUCCGGUUCGAGAGA